UAAACGACUCUCGGCAACGGAUAUCUCGGCUCUUGCAUCGAUGNNNNNCGCAGCGAAAUGCGAUACUUGGUGUGAAUUGCAGAAUCCCGUGAACCAUCGAGUCUUUGAACGCAAGUUGCGCCCGAAGCCUUGGCUGAGGGCACGUCUGCCUGGGUGUCACGCAU
rnacentral:rRNA from 1 species